UACGUAGGUGGCAAGCGUUGUCCGGAUUUACUGGGCGUAAAGAGCGCGCAGGCGGUCGUCCAAGUCGCGUGUGAAAGCCCCCGGCUCAACUGGGGAGGGUCACGCGAUACUGGUCGACUCGAAGGCAGGAGAGGGUAGUGGAAUUCCCGGUGUAGUGGUGAAAUGCGUAGAUGUCGGGAGGAACACCAGUGGCGAAGGCGACUACCUGGCCUGUUCUUGACGCUGAGGCGCGAAAGCUAGGGGAGCAAACGGG
rnacentral:rRNA from 1 species